GCAAUGGGCGAAAGCCUGACGCAGCCAUGCCGCGUGAAUGAUGAAGGUCUUAGGAUUGUAAAAUUCUUUCACCGGGGACGAUAAUGACGGUACCCGGAGAAGAAGCCCCGGCUAACUUCGUGCCAGCAGCCGCGGUAAUACGAAGGGGGCUAGCGUUGCUCGGAAUUACUGGGCGUAAAGGGAGCGUAGGCGGACUGUUUAGUCAGAGGUGAAAGCCCAGGGCUCAACCUUGGAAUUGCCUUUGAUACUGGCAGUCUUGAGUACGGAAGAGGUAUGUGGAACUCCGAGUGUAGAGGUGAAAUUCGUAGAUAUUCGGAAGAACACCAGUGGCGAAGGCGACAUACUGGUCCGUUACUGACGCUGAGGCUCGAAAGCGUGGGGAGCAAACAGGAUUAGAUACCCUGGUAGUCCACGCCGUAAACGAUGAGUGCUAGUUGUCGGCAUGCAUGCAUGUCGGUGACGCAGCUAACGCAUUAAGCACUCCGCCUGGG
rnacentral:rRNA from 1 species